rnacentral:rRNA from 1 species
AACGAACGCUGGCGGCAGGCUUAACACAUGCAAGUCGAGCGCCCCGCAAGGGGAGCGGCAGACGGGUGAGUAACGCGUGGGAAUCUACCCAUCUCUACGGAAUAACGCAUGGAAACGUGUGCUAAUACCGUAUACGUCCUUCGGGAGAAAGAUUUAUCGGAGAUGGAUGAGCCCGCGUUGGAUUAGCUAGUUGGUGGGGUAAAGGCCUACCAAGGCGACGAUCCAUAGCUGGUCUGAGAGGAUGAUCAGCCACACUGGGACUGAGACACGGCCCAGACUCCUACGGGGGGCAGUAGUGGGGAAUAUUGGACAAUGGGCGCAAGCCUGAUCCAGCCAUGCCGCGUGAGUGAUGAAGGCCCUAGGGUUGUAAAGCUCUUUCACCGGUGAAGAUAAUGACGGUAACCGGAGAAGAAGCCCCGGCUAACUUCGUGCCAGCAGCCGCCGUAAAAC